rnacentral:rRNA from 1 species
CGAAAGCCUGACGGAGCAACGCCGCGUGAGGGAUGAAGGCCUCUGGGCUGUAAACCUCUUUUCUCAAGGAAGAAGAUCUGACGGUACUUGAGGAAUAAGCCACGGCUAAUUCCGUGCCAGCAGCCGCGGUAAUACGGGAGUGGCAAGCGUUAUCCGGAAUCAUUGGGCGUAAAGCGUCCGCAGGCGGCCUUGAAAGUCUGUCGUUAAAGCGUGGAGCUUAACUCCAUUUCAGCGAUGGAAACUACAAGGCUUGAGUGUGGUAGGGGCAGAGGGAAUUCCCGGUGUAGCGGUGAAAUGCGUAGAUAUCGGGAAGAACACCAGCGGCGAAAGCGCGUGACUGGGCUGAGACUGACACUCAUGGACGAAAGCUAGGGGAGCG